GUGGGGAAUAUUGGACAAUGGGCGAAAGCCUGAUCCAGCCAUGCCGCGUGUGUGAAGAAGGUCUUCGGAUUGUAAAGCACUUUAAGUUGGGAGGAAGGGCAGUAAGUUAAUACCUUGCUGUUUUGACGUUACCGACAGAAUAAGCACCGGCUAACUUCGUGCCAGCAGCCGCGGUAAUACGAAGGGUGCAAGCGUUAAUCGGAAUUACUGGGCGUAAAGCGCGCGUAGGUGGUUUUGUAAGUUGGAGGUGAAAUCCCCGGGCUCAACCUGGGAACUGCCUCAAAAACUACUGAGAGAGAGUACGGUAAAGGGUAGUGGAAUUUCCUGUGUAGCGGUGAAAUGCGUAGAUAUAGGAAGGAACACCAGUGGCGAAGGCGACUACCUGGACUGAUACUGACACUGAGGUGCGAAAGCGUGGGGAGCAAACAGGAUUAGAAACCCUGGUAGUCC
rnacentral:rRNA from 1 species